UACGGGGGGGGCAAGCGUUGUUCGGAAUUACUGGGCGUAAAGGGCUCGUAGGUGGUUUGUCGCGUUGUUCGUGAAAACCUGAGGCUUAACCUUGGGCGUGCGGGCGAUACGGGCAGACUGGAGUACUGCAGGGGAGACUGGAAUUCCUGGUGUAGCGGUGGAAUGCGCAGAUAUCAGGAGGAACACCGGUGGCGAAGGCGGGUCUCUGGGCAGUAACUGACGCUGAGGAGCGAAAGCGUGGGGAGCGAACAGG
rnacentral:rRNA from 1 species